CGCACGGUGGAUGCCUUGGCACUAGAAGCCGAUGAAGGACGUUACUAACGACGAUAUGCUUUGGGUAGCUGUAAGUAAGCGUUGAUCCAGAGAUUUCCGAAUGGGGGAACCCAGCAUGAGUUAUGUCAUGUUAUCGACAUGUGAAUUCAUAGCAUGUCAGAAGGCAGACCCGGAGAACUGAAACAUCUUAGUACCCGGAGGAAGAGAAAGAAAAAUCGAUUCCCUGAGUAGCGGCGAGCGAAACGGGAAGAGCCCAAACCAACAAGCUUGCUUGUUGGGGUUGUAGGACACUCUAUACGGAGUUACAAAAGAACAUGUUAGACGAAUCAUCUGGAAAGAUGAAUCAAAGAAGGUAAUAAUCCUGUAGUCGAAAACAUAUUCUCUCUUGAGUGGAUCCUGAGUACGACGGAGCACGUGAAAUUCCGUCGGAAUCUGGGAGGACCAUCUCCUAAGGCUAAAUACUCUCUAGUGACCGAUAGUGAACCAGUACCGUGAGGGAAAGGUGAAAAGUACCCCGGAAGGGGAGUGAAAUAGAACCUGAAACCGUGUGCCUACAACAAGUUCGAGCCCGUUAAUGGGUGAGAGCGUGCCUUUUGUAGAAUGAACCGGCGAGUUACGUUAUGAUGCGAGGUUAAGUUGAAGAGACGGAGCCGUAGGGAAACCGAGUCUGAAUAGGGCGUCUUAGUAUCAUGAUGUAGACCCGAAACCAUGUGACCUACCCAUGAGCAGGUUGAAGGUGCGGUAAAACGCACUGGAGGACCGAACCAGGGCACGUUAAAAAGUGCUUGGAUGACUUGUGGGUAGCGGAGAAAUUCCAAACGAACUUGGAGAUAGCUGGUUCUCUCCGAAAUAGCUUUAGGGCUAGCGUCGACAUAAAGAUUCUUGGAGGUAGAGCACUGUUUGGGUGAGGGGUCCAUCCCGGAUUACCAAUCUCAGAUAAACUCCGAAUGCCAAUGAAUUAUGGUCGGCAGUCAGACUGCGAGUGCUAAGAUCCGUAGUCGAAAGGGAAACAGCCCAGACCACCAGCUAAGGUCCCAAAAUAAUUGUUAAGUGGAAAAGGAUGUGGGGUUGCACAGACAACUAGGAUGUUAGCUUAGAAGCAGCUAUUCAUUCAAAGAGUGCGUAAUAGCUCACUAGUCGAGUGACCCUGCGCCGAAAAUGUACCGGGGCUAAACAUAUUACCGAAGCUGUGGAUUGUCCUUUGGACAAUGGUAGGAGAGCGUUCUAAGGGCGUCGAAGCAUGAUCGCAAGGACAUGUGGAGCGCUUAGAAGUGAGAAUGCCGGUGUGAGUAGCGAAAGACGGGUGAGAAUCCCGUCCACCGAUUGACUAAGGUUUCCAGAGGAAGGCUCGUCCGCUCUGGGUUAGUCGGGUCCUAAGCUGAGGCCGACAGGCGUAGGCGAUGGAUAACAGGUUGAUAUUCCUGUACCACCUAGUAUCGUUUUAAUCGAUGGGGGGACGCAGUAGGAUAGGCGAAGCGUGCUGUUGGAGUGCACGUCCAAGCAGUAAGGCUGAGUGUUAGGCAAAUCCGGCACUCAUAAGGCUGAGCUGUGAUGGGGAGAGGAAAUUGUUUCCUCGAGUCGUUGAUUUCACACUGCCGAGAAAAGCCUCUAGAUAGAUAACAGGUGCCCGUACCGCAAACCGACACAGGUAGUCAAGAUGAGAAUUCUAAGGUGAGCGAGCGAACUCUCGUUAAGGAACUCGGCAAAAUGACCCCGUAACUUCGGGAGAAGGGGUGC
rnacentral:rRNA from 1 species